AGGAGUAUAGUUAACAAUAACAUUUAAUUUGCAAUUAAAAAGUGCUAAACCUUAGCUACUCUUA
rnacentral:tRNA from 1 species